rnacentral:lncRNA from 1 species
UUAGUGUGUUACAAACUCUUCCACUAUUAUGCAAAAGCUUUCUCUUGAAAUUGAACUCAUCCUUGGUCCUAUUUUUUUUUUUUUUUUUUUACAGAAGAGAGCUGCUGUAAUUUUCACUGGAUUAGGAAAUUUCAUCUUUGUGUUUCGAAAGCAGAGCUUCAAGAUAUCCUCCCCAGGGAAACAUUUCUGUGUGAAAAGAGCAUUCCGUCACUGUCUUCAAUCACAAAUUGUGAACCUGCAUGCAGACCAUACUAUCUCAAAAUGCCACAGUUUGCAGUAGCAGCAGAUCUGUAGCAGCCAUGUUUAACAUGCCGUAUUUCAGACUCAGGCAUGGAUUACCAAACCUCAGCAUCUGAAAGUCAUCAGUUGAUAUUAAAUAGCAGUGUCUACCUUGUUAAAUGGAAGGAAUAACCAUCAGCGUAUAAUGCAGACCACAUUUAAUGAGUUCCUUAUGCUGCUUCUUGGGAUUUACAGUCUUGGUUAACCAGUAACAGGGACUGAAAAAUGUUGCCUACAAUAAAUGUGUCUGUGCAUCAUAUUUACUAUCUUCUUGGCUAACUUGUACAUACAGAUGAUUUGAAAUAUUCAAAUUAAAAGUUAGUUGAAUGCCACUUUAUAUCUUGGAUAAACUUUUACCUCAGAAUACACGCUUUAAUGAACAUGAUGAAGUGUGGUUCAUUAAUUUCAGUAGGUCUACUCGCAGUAAAACAGUUGAAUACCUG